rfam:Clostridiales bacterium CHKCI006 isolate CHKC6 genome assembly, contig: {contig2}
AUAAAUACGAUGAAGUGAAGAGUAGAUGCAGGCGGCUAUUUGCAGAGAGAUGACGGGUGGUGAAAGUCAUCAGGCUAAUCGCAUUGAAUACAUCAUGGAGUAGAGCGCUGAACUUAAAGUAGGUGUCUUCGGCUGCUACCGUUAUCAAGCCAAGGUAUGAACAUGUUGCAUGCGUACCUGCUGAGGUCCGUUUUGUGAGAAACGGACGAACAUGAGGUGGAACCACGAAGUCUAGCACUCUCGUCCUCUAU